UGGGGAAUAUUGCACAAUGGGCGCAAGCCUGAUGCAGCCAUGCCGCGUGUGUGAAGAAGGCCUUCGGGUUGUAAAGCACUUUCAGCGAGGAGGAAGGUGGUGAGCUUAAUACGCUCAUCAAUUGACGUUACUCGCAGAAGAAGCACCGGCUAACUCCGUGCCAGCAGCCGCGGUAAUACGGAGGGUGCAAGCGUUAAUCGGAAUUACUGGGCGUAAAGCGCACGCAGGCGGUUUGUUAAGUCAGAUGUGAAAUCCCCGGGCUCAACCUGGGAACUGCAUUUGAAACUGGCAAGCUAGAGUCUCGUAGAGGGGGGUAGAAUUCCAGGUGUAGCGGUGAAAUGCGUAGAGAUCUGGAGGAAUACCGGUGGCGAAGGCGGCCCCCCUGGACGAAGACUGACGCUCAGGUGCGAAAGCGUGGGGCAGCAAACAGGAUUAGAUACCCUGGUAGUCCACGCUGUAAAACGAUGUCGAUUUGGAGGUUGUGCCCUUGAGGCGUGGCUUCCGGAGCUAACGCGUUAAA
rnacentral:rRNA from 1 species